rnacentral:rRNA from 1 species
UACAGAGGUCUCGAGCGUUGUUCGGAUUCAUUGGGCGUAAAGGGCGCGUAGGCGGCGGGGGUAAGUCUGGUGUGAAAUCUAGGAGCUCAACUCCUAAACUGCACUGGAUACUGCUCUGCUAGAGGACUGGAGAGGAGACUGGAAUUCACGGUGUAGCAGUGAAAUGCGUAGAUAUCGUGAGGAAGACCAGUGGCGAAGGCGG